CGUCCUCCUCCAGAAAUCCAUAGGUUCUCAACCUGACUACAUUGUAUUUUUUUCUCUUUUUCCCCUACGCGUGACGCACGCUCGUAGUAGUGUGUGAGUAAAAAAAGUCGUGUGAUUGUAUACUAAUCGCAUCGACGCAUCCGCGGUGUGUAUACGGUGUAUUUAACAAUUGUUCUCAUGGAAUUAGGGCUAGUUAGUGUCAAUUAGAUAUUUAAGUAUUAUUCCAUAAAAGCAAAGCUUUUUUUUUGUUAAUCGUAAAUCUUCCGUGUUUUUUUCGUUCCUAGAACGAUAUUUACCGAGUGACUCGCGAGUGCGUGUGUGUGUUGUGAUUUUACUAUUAUCCAAUAUAUUAUAAAAUUCUCCAUAUCAGUGAAGCAAUCGUGCUAUUUUGCUUUUAAAAUUCGAUAUUCACGAUGGGAAACGUGCAUACUUGCGGACCAAACGAGGCCCUCGUCGUUUCGGGAGGAUGUUGCGGAUCGAUGAAAAAACGAACGAUCGUCGGUGGCUAUGCAUUUUGCUGGUGGUUCGUUACGGACGUGCAACGUUUGUCCCUGGAGGUAAUGACGUUGAACCCAGUUUGCGAGAACGUUGAAACUGCCCAGGGCGUACCGCUCACGGUGACCGGUGUAGCACAAUGCAAAAUCAUGAAAGCCGACGAAUUGUUGCACACCGCCAGCGAACAAUUUCUUGGGAAGACUGUUUUCGAGAUCAAGUCAACGAUACUGUCGACUUUGGAAGGACAUCUACGAGCGAUUCUCGGCACUUUAUCGGUCGAGGAAGUGUACAAGGAUCGAGAUCAGUUCGCAGCAUUGGUACGGGAAGUUGCAGCACCGGACGUAGGCCGGAUGGGCAUCGAGAUUCUCUCGUUCACGAUCAAGGACGUUUACGACGAUGUGCAAUACUUGGCCUCGCUCGGUAAAGCGCAAACAGCGGCUGUGAAGAGAGACGCUGACGUUGGGGUUGCCGAGGCCAAUCGUGACGCCGGCAUCAGAGAAGCCGAGUGCGAAAAAGCAGCGAUGGAUAUUAAAUACAACACGGACACGAAGAUCGAGGAUAACGCGAGACUUUAUCAGUUGCAAAAAGCUAACUUUGAUCAGGAAGUUAACACGGCGAAAGCCGAAGCUCAGCUCGCCUAUGAGCUGCAGGCAGCCAAGAUUAAGCAGAGAAUACGAAACGAAGAAAUACAGAUCGAAGUCGUCGAGAGGCGUAAGCAAAUCGAAGUCGAAGUCCAAGAAGUACGAAGGAAGGAGCACGAGUUACAGAGCACCGUCAGAUUGCCCGCCGAGGCAGAAAGUUAUAAAAUGGGAAAAGUGGCCGAAGGAAAAAGGACACAGACAGUUUCUGCGGCGACAGCCGAGGCUGACAAGAUUCGAUUGCUCGGUGAGGCUGAAGCUCAAGCAUUGGAGGUCAUUGGUGCAUCGGAGGCUGAACGAAUGCGACUCAAAGCAGCCGUUUACAACAGGUACGGCGAGGCUGCUGUCCUGAACAUUGUCCUGAACGCAAUGCCCAAGAUCGCCGCUGAAAUCUCCGCACCGUUGGCCAGGACGGAAGAAAUUGUUCUUCUUGGAGGAAACGACAGUACUUCGGGCGAACUUACCCGUCUCGUCGGUCAAGUACCUCCAGCAGUUCAAGCUUUGACCGGAGUAGACCUCUCAAAGGUUUUAGGAAAAAUACCUGGGGCUAAGUAAUUCACAGCAAAUUGAUUUUCAACGACUCGGAAACCCGUCCACCCCUCUACGGAUUUCAGUAGCCCUUCAAGAGAGAAAAUAGUAUAUAAUAUACUAUCAAUUACUUCUCUCCUCUGCCAUUCAGUCGCUUACAAGCGACCCUCCAACUUCAACUCUUUCCCCAAUUUUUCUACCUCAAAUUUGGACAUUGAUCGCAGAAGUUAGCAGCGAGCAGCGUAGAUACGUUUCUAAUAUUAUUUUUGCGAGCCUUUUCUCGACCAUCGGACGCACACUCAUCAUUCAGAUUCCAAGUAAACGACGCUCGCAAUGAUUACGAAUUUUUCUUUAUACAUUUUCUUAAAAACGGCGAGACGGAUAUGAUAAAUAGACAAUUUCAUGGAUCGAGUUACCAAACGGAAAACAGUAACGAUUAUUGUGAAUCGAAUUGUAAAUUCGUCAAUUUGUUAUUGAAUCAAAAAAUAUUAUUUACAGCCAACGCAAGCGACUACGCUCACAUAUUUCGUUGAGUUUCAUCACAAUCUUUUAUUAACUCCAGAUCGAUUCGUACGUUUUGAGUGUGCUUUCGCCAUCCUAAUGUGAAAGUAACAAAAAAAAAAACAAGCAACUUGUCCUUCUAACUCGUUCGCUCUUCUUGGAGCUCUUUUCAUAUGGGUAUUUCUUACAUGUGGUGUGUAUACGUUCACAUUCCAUGAGUAUUCGUACAAUCAUUGACUUGUAAUGUAACAGAAAGAAACAAAAGGCACGUGUGAUCUUCAAUCUUCCGGUUAAAGUAUCGCUGAACUUGGUUAAAAAAGAAAACAAAAAAUCUUUCAGGUGACUUAGCUCAUGAAAUCACACAAAAAUUACGAUAUUUAACUUUUGUAUGUCACGAUAUGUUCGAGUAUUAAUCCAGCAGGAUGCGUUAAACCAAAAUGACGUAGGACACGAUUCCAAAAAAGGUUCAUUUUGAACUAAUUUUCGCCGGUUGAUACACACGGAAAAAAAACAAAGAUUUUAACGAAAAGGAAAAUUGUCCGAGCGACUGGCUGCUGAUGUAACACAAAAAUCAAAUGUACGUCGUUGUAUUUAGAAAUCUAUUGUGAUCGGCAGUGCUCGAUCAUUGUGUUCAACUGAGUAGGUAAAUUUAUGGGAGACGAAGAUAGGAGAAAGGAAGAGACGAAGUUAAAAGAAGGAAACAAAUUAUCUCGGGGUACCAUCGUUUUCGUAGAAACUACGAAUAUCGCGAACAGGGCAGAAGGAUAAACUCUCUUCAGAGUUCGUUGGAAAUUAGUCACGAUGGAAUCUCUCGCAUUAAGAUUGAGCUUUGAUGAUGAUAAUAAAAUUGAAACGAAAAAAAAGAAAAGAAAAGAAAAAUUAAUAAAGAGACAAAAAAACGUAAAAAAUUGUGAAGAGGCGACGCUUUAGACAAAUUAUGUUUCGCACGCUCGAUUAAUAGACUGUCACUCGGUCACCCCAACGGCAAUUCCGCCCACUGGAUGUUUUUUGUUUGUCAAUAUGAAGGGAAAGAGAAAAAAAUAAGAAAGAGGUAAAAAUGUACAUAGUUUGUACAAUCUAGCCGUACUAAGCAUGUAUAUACAUAACGUAGAUACACUAAUUAAAAACGGCAGUAAAGUAGAGAAAAAAUCUAAGACCAUUGAUUGACACGAGUAUAAACGAAUUUUAGUGCGACCGGAAUUUCCAAUUGUACACACCAACAAAAUCGAUUGAUUCAGUGUUGCAUCACGACCCUUUUACGUCACAGAUCUCUCAUUAAAUGAAAAAACUCUCGUUUUUUUUCUGUCGAUGUGGAUCACUAUAAAAAUCAAUCUUUCUCGUAUAUUUUCACAUCGUUUACUCAUAUUCACACGCGAACUCGAAAUUUUUAUUAAAAUAUAUUCCAAAGAGAUUUUGUAAUACUCACACGUUAUCGAAAGGAACAAAUACUCCGAUACAUAAAUAUAUUUUUCUUGUAGCAAAAGUGUCACAAGGAUAGGAUUGAAUUCAAGUACAAAUCAUGAUCGUCUGUCGUUAGCCAUCGUCUUCCCCUCCCAUAAUUAGCGUGAAUAGAUUCGACGAAUACCUAGACAUAAACUCGAUGUCUUUUACAUCGGUUGAAAUUUCGAAAAAAGGAAUAAAUUUUUAAAAAUCUCUUACUGAUGUAAAAUUGAUCGACGAGUCCGAGCCGGUGGGUGAUCGAGUGUGAAAUUUAGACGCGUCGCUCUACGAUACUUUAAGCUCGCGAAUAUUUGCAAUGUGUAGUUUUUUCAUCGGGUUUUAAUAACGGGUUUUUUUUAUAGUUUGUUGCGACUCGAUAUAUAUUUACUAUUUUUCGAUAUUCUAUCCCUCUACCUCCACAUAAUUUGUUCAAUAAUUAACUAUAACGAAAAAUGAGUUACCGUUCGGAUAUACGAAAAGAGAUUUACUCUUAAUUAAAGUUCUGUUUUAAGUUUGCACACAAAAUAGUUGUUUGACAUUCUGACAAAUUCGAUAACUGACUUUCUCCCUGUGCCAUGCUGAAAACUGAACAACUCGGACACAGGAAAAUUCAUUAGUCCAAAAAUACUCAACAAUCAAUUGAAUCAUCAACUUAUUUCAAUGUGAGAAAUAACCAAAAUUUUCUUACCUUCACACAAUCACCGUCUAGCUAAUGAAAAUGAUGUGUGUUUGCAGUGAAAAAUAAAUGUCAAAAUGUUCCAUGUACCAGAAAAUUAUGUUCUAACGCUUAUACAUUUAUUAAUAUAUACUUCAUUUAAUCGUGAUUUAAACAAUUAGUCGCAUAAGUUAACGAUAAUAUUAAGUUUUAUACUCUAAUCUCAGAACUAAUACUAGCUGAUCGACAAAUCGAACAAAAGUGUGCAAAUAGUAAUGAAUAAACUGAAGAUUUUCAUUAGGUGUGGAAUUGCGUUUUAAAUUUUACGCUGAAACGAAAUAAGUGAAGGAGAGCUAUCUGAUUCGACUAAUUUGCGAUCCGAUUGAACAAAAGAGCACAGUGUGUUUGCGUCUAUAAACGGUAAUCCGCGAAAAUAUAAGCUGCACAGGAUUAUUGUCGACUACGAAUAUUAGCACCGUUCGUGUAAAAAGUCAUUUAACAUUAUUUCCUUCCAAAAAAAUGAUCAAUGAACAAAAUAUCGAUACCCGUAUUUGUAAUCAUCGAGAAUGAGUGUUUCUCUCACUUGUGUGAAAAAGAGGCUUCGAUAUUUUCUAGCGAUAACAUUAUUUCUUUUUAGAAUUAUUCUGAAUGGCUUUAUUUUUAUUUACUAUUGUCUCAUCGAUUGCAAUAAUUUAUCUUACGUUUCAAACAAGUCCCAAUUAAAUUCAUGCUAAUUUUAAAUGACUACUCACACGACCUUAUACAUUUAUAAAUAAUGAAACUAAUACAUUUAAAAAACGAAAAAAAAAAGUAAAAUAAUACGAAAACAUUGUAUAUCGAAGGGGGAGGAUUGAUAAAUUUCAAAUUGCACGAGGCUUGAGAACGAACUUUUUUCGAGAGAUUUUUUUCUUUUGUUUUUUUUUUUCGAAAAAGAAAAAAUUGUUCCAAUGUGAAUUGCAACCGAUAUGUACUGUUAUAUAGCCCAAUGGAUUGAUAAAAUUUCGCUCUUAUUGCUUGCGAGUACAAAGUACUUUUAUAUUUCUAAUAAUACGGUGACAGUGCCAAUUCCAUCAUUUUUAGCUUUCUAUUUUGUAAAACCGUAACCACAGGGAGACCAAAGCGUGGCAUACAGUGAAUAUUUUUCAAAAUAUGAGUAAUCUUUUUUUAUAAAUAUACAUCUAUAUACAUAUAUACAUAUACACAUAUAUAUUCAUUAUGAAUUCAAUUAUCGGUAUAAGAAAUAAGUUUGUAUCAAAUCAAUAGUAUCGUCAAUUCGUUGUUUUUCGUCUUUCUAAUGUCUCAGUGCUCUAGAAUUGAAAAAAAAACGCUUGAAAUCAAUGGAAUGGUGGUUCCAAAGUGAAAGUUCGAGAGAAGAGGACCAAAAUAAAUAAAAUAGAUUAUUGCAAAAGUUAGUUUUAAAAGUAGAACAGCAAAAAUCUAAGAAAUCUUGAAAAAAAUUCAUUUUAAUUACAUUGGUUGGAACUUUCGAAGUUACCUGUAAACUUGCAUUCAAGGAUACAGCAAAAAUCAUAUUUUAACAUUUGCAAAUAACGAGAUCUAGCCUCAAUUUUUUGGAAUCGCCAUUUCCCUCAAAAGUUCCGAUACUUGACGAGAGUAUUUCGAGAUGAAACUGGUGACACCGUAUUUGUGGGAAACAGUUACUCAAAAUCUUUUUGUUUUCAAGCAAACAGUUUCUCAUUAACAAUAUUUCAAUAGAAUAUGUAUCAAUAAUGCCAUAAUAUCGAAUCACUUAGUCAAAAAAUCUCGAGUGCAUCUAAAAAAAUCAAGAAACAUACGUACUUUGAUUUUGAACGAGAGAAAUCGCACGACACCAAGUGUUACCAUUUUUCCAGUUGCAUUGUAUACUUGCAUUUUCAACUGUCACGUUACAAAAGAGCUGGGCGCGAUUAUUUUUAGGAUUUCCAUGAUAAUCCUUCACAGCUCUAUUUUAGUUCCUUUGUCAAGUUUACAGAUUUUUAGUUCCGCAUGUAUAAUGAGAGAUAUACAUAUACGUAUGUAAAUCCAGUACACAGUACCGACCCAACUCAGUUAUAAAUCUCUGUGGUCACGUACAGUUCCACGUUCAAUGACGUUUUUUUUCUUCUUUCUAAUUGUAAUCCCGUCUUAAUACUAUAUUGAAUACUGGUUUAGCAAUCCCUUUUAACCCUUUACUCGAUACCUAAAAGUGUAAUUAUUUCAAACGCCGUCUUCGAUAUACGAAUUUGCACUGUAAUUAAUCAAGUCGACGAUAAAUUUCGAACGAAUAUCACGGCGAAACGAAAAAAAAAAAAAAUAGUAUAGAGCAAUGCCCUCCCAUGGCAAGCACGUUGUCAACGUUAAAUUCAUAAUUUUAUAAUUUUGGGUCAAAUACGAAAAGAACAGGAAAAUUUCUGCACAUGAUAGUACCACGAUUGAAAACAAAAAAAAUUAUCUUCCCUAUUAAGUGUAAGCGACGGAUAGAAAAAAAAAACGAUAACGAGAAUUAUAUAAAAGAGAAGUGAAGAAAACGAAUACAAACACUACGAUUGUUUCGAAAAUUAUUUCCAACAAUGUCUACUAUAUGCGGAUAUAAAUGUUCAUCUUAUGCAUAACAAAUACACCCAACUCGACCAAGAAAAAAAAAGCUUAGAUAAAAAGGAUGAAUAAAUUCAAUGAAAAAUCAAGUCCAAAUAAUCGACGAUAAUUAUCGAUUCAAAAUUUUGCCGGAUAACUAGACAGAGAUGUAGUUUUUUUUUUAAUAACCUCGAAAAACAUGAAAUAAUAUAUAUAUGUAUACACGCAUGUAUAUAUAUACAUAUAUAUAUAUAUUUAUAUUUUGGGGAGUCUGUGCUAGAAAAUAUUUCGAUACCGUAGAUAGACGACAACAUUUAUUAUUGUGUCAUACUUAAAACUCUAUCUGAAAGUAAUGAAAUAGACUAUGUGAAUUAGUGCAUAUUUUUAAUAAAUGGAGCAUUAAAUUACACA
rnacentral:misc_RNA from 1 species